rnacentral:rRNA from 1 species
AAUCAACGCUGGCGGCGUGCCUCAGACAUGCAAGUCGAACGAUUAAAGCUCUCUUCGGAGAGUGCAUAGAGUGGCGCACGGGUGAGUAACACGUAAGUAAUCUGCCUUUGAGUGGGGAAUAACAGUCGGAAACGAUUGCUAAUACCGCAUAACGCAGCGGCACCGCAAGGUGACAGUUGUUAAAGGAGCAAUCCGCUUAAAGAGGAGCUUGCGGCAGAUUAGCUUGUUGGUAAGGUAACGGCUUACCAAGGCUACGAUCUGUAUCCGGUCUAAGAGGACGGUCGGACACACUGACACUGAAUAACGGGUCAGACUCCUACGGGAGGCAGCAGUCGGGAAUUUUGGGCAAUGGGGGAAACCCUGACCCAGCAACGCCGCGUGAAGGAUGAAGUAUUUCGGUAUGUAGACUUCGAAAGAAUAGGAAGAAUAAAUGACGGUACUAUUUAUAAGCUCCGGCUAACUACGUGCCAGCAGCCGCGGUAAU